AUGAACGCUGGCGGCGUGCUUAACACAUGCAAGUCGAACGGAAAGGCCGAAGCUUGCUUCGGUACUCGAGUGGCGAACGGGUGAGUAACACGUGGGUGAUCUGCCCUGUACUUCGGGAUAAGCUUGGGAAACUGGGUCUAAUACCGGAUAUGACGAUCUCUUGGAUGGGGUUGUGGAAAGCUUUUGCGGUAUGGGAUGAGCUCGCGGCCUAUCAGCUUGUUGGUGGGGUAAUGGCCUACCAAGGCGUCGACGGGUAGCCGGCCUGAGAGGGUGUACGGCCACAUUGGGACUGAGAUACGGCCCAGACUCCCACGGGAGGCAGCAGUGGGGAAUAUUGCACAAUGGGCGCAAGCCUGAUGCAGCGACGCCGCGUGGGGGAUGACGGCCUUCGGGUUGUAAACUCCUUUCGCAAUCGACGAAGCCUUUUGGUGACGGUAGGUUGAGAAGAAGCACCGGCUAACUACGUG
rnacentral:rRNA from 1 species